AUACGUAGGUGGCAAGCGUUGUCCGGAAUUAUUGGGCGUAAAGCGCGCGCAGGUGGUUCCUUAAGUCUGAUGUGAAAGCCCCCGGCUCAACCGGGGAGGGUCAUUGGAAACUGGGGAACUUGAGUGCAGAAGGGGAUAGUGGAAUUCCAAGUGUAGCGGUGAAAUGCGUAGAGAUUUGGAGGAACACCAGUGGCGAAGGCGACUGUCUGGUCUGUAACUGACACUGAGGCGCGAAAGCGUGGGGAGCAAACAGGAUUAGAUACCCUGGUAGUCCACGCCGUAAACGAUGAGUGCUAAGUGUUGGGGGGUUUCCGCCCCUCAGUGCUGCAGCUAACGCAUUAAGCACUCCGCCUGGGGAGUACGGUCGCAAGACUGAAACUCAAAGGAAUUGGCGGGG
rnacentral:rRNA from 1 species